GUGCUUACUUUGGCAGCACAUAUACUAAAAUUGGAAUGACACAGAGAAUACAAGGAUGACAUGCAAAUUCGUGAAGUGUUCCAUAUUAAA
ensembl:snRNA U6 U6 spliceosomal RNA